AGAGUUUGAUCCUGGCUCAGGAUCAACGCUGGCGGCGUGCAUGAGACAUGCAAGUCGAACGGACGGUCGGGGCUUGCCUUGACCGUUAGUGGCGGACGGCUGAGUAACGCGUGGGUGACCUGCCCCGAAGUGGGGAAUAACUGCCCGAAAGGGUGGCUAAUACCGCAUGUGCCGGUACGUUCGUUCGUACCAGCAAGGCCGCAAGGCGCUUCGGGAGGGGCCUGCGUCCGAUUAGCUCGUUGGUGGGGUAACGGCUCACCAAGGCGACGAUCGGUAGGUGGUCUGAGAGGACGAUCACCCAGACUGGGACUGAGACACGGCCCAGACUCCUACGGGAGGCAGCAGUCGGGAAUUUUGCGCAAUGGACGAAAGUCUGACGCAGCAACGCCGCGUGAGGGAUGACGGCCUUCGGGUUGUAAACCUCUUUUCUCAGGGAAGAUAAUGACGGUACCUGAGA
rnacentral:rRNA from 1 species